rnacentral:misc_RNA from 1 species
AAGUCGUAACAAGGUUUCCGUAAGUGAACCUACGGAAGGAUCAUUACAAGGUUCUUAGUGACAUCUCGAAAGAGAUCCCUCCCAAGUAUCCUAUCUGUCGUGUCUAUAUCAUUUACUUUUGAUCGUUCUUGGGCCGGGAGCGUGGCCUCCACUACGGGCUCUACUCGUACGUACCCGCUAGAGGACUAAACUUUGAAUGUUAGUAAUGUCUGAGUACUAUAUAAUAAUUAAAA